CGCACCUUGCGCUCCAUGGUAUUCCGUGGAGCAUGCCUGUUCGAGUGUCACGUCAACCCUCACCCUCGUGAUGUCAAAGUCACUUGCGGUGGAUUUGGACCGUGCCGUAGUUGGCUCGUCCUGAAAUGCAUUAGCUUGCGCUUUUAGAGUGCUGAGCACGGUGUGAUAAUUAUCUACGCCAACGCUCAAGGCCUCUUCAGCGGCGCUGCUUACAGUCGUCCUGACGGACAAUUACUCCAAGCUUUGGCCUCGAAUCAGGUAGGACUACCCGCUGAACUUAA
rnacentral:misc_RNA from 1 species